GACGAACGCUGGCGGCGUGCUUAACACAUGCAAGUCGAACGGUGAAGCGCUUUCCUUUUUGGUUGGUGUGGAUGAGUGGCGAACGGGUGAGUAACACGUGAGUAACCUGCCCCCUUCUUCUGGAUAACCGCAUGAAAGUGUGGCUAAUACGGGAUAUUCUGCGCCUGCUGCAUGGUGGGUGUGGGAAAGAUUGUGCCUUUGGGUGUUUUCGGUGGGGGAUGGGCUCGCGGCCUAUCAGCUUGUUGGUGGGGUGAUGGCCUACCAAGGCGGUGACGGGUAGGCGGCGUGGGGGGGUGGACGGUAAAAUGGGGACGGGGAAACGGCCCAGACUCCAACGGGGGGAAGCAGUGGGGAAUAUUGCACAAGGGGCGAAAGCCUGAUGCCGCGACGCCGGGUGGGGGAUGGGGGCCUUGGGGUUGUGAACCUCUUUCGCAAGGGAAGCAGGCCUGCUCCUGGUGGGUGGGUUGAGGGUAGUGGGAAAAGAAGGCCCGGCUAAUUACGU
rnacentral:rRNA from 1 species